AUUCGACGUGCCCUCCACUAUCACCCACUAAAUUUUUGAACUUUUGGCACUUCCCACUAAACAAUUCUACCCCUUGUGUACGUAUCUCCAUCUUUGAAGAACAUGAAGUCAUGAACGUCUGAACUCUCUGAAGAUGAAGACUGAACAUCAUCAUCGACGCCCCAAUUUCCACCGUCUCCGCCGUCUCUGUCGUCCCCUCCGCCACAAACCCCCUCAACCCUCUGUCAUAUGUAACGACCGAUUGAUUAUCAACUGCUCAUACAACAACAAAAUUGAUUAUCAUUGUCUAGGGUUUUCAUUCUUCGAUCGCCAAUUAUUGCAACUGUUAAUUCGUUGCGGUUUUUACAUUCACCGAGCUGACCGGCGCAGUCCUCAUUUCUUAUAUAAUGUUCUUGUAUGAGGAAGUUAAGAAAGAGUAAAUACAAGAUCAUGGAAUAUGUUUUAUGAACCAGCCUACAAUUUCGCGGGCUGAUCAACGCAAAACCAAAUCAAACACAUCGAGGAUGCAAGUAGAGAGGUUGCAGAUCGAUUGUAUAAAAGAAAGAGCAAUGACAUCAUCCUAUUACCCUACAAUCUCGGGCCAAUGGUCGUGUAUGCUUCACGAAGUGGUGUCAACAUAAGGGUUAAACUCAUCUGGAUUAACGCUAGGUGUCCACGUCAGCCAGGAGUACUGAAUGCGGCUCCUAUGUAAUGAAGUUCAUGAAGGAGAUAACUUAUAAAGGAGUUGAAAUACUUGACAAUGAUAAUAUAGGUUGGGAAAGGAGUAGAGGAAUUCUCAGCUGUGGAUAUGGAUGACAUUCGCGAAGAUUGGUCGACUUAUGCGGUUACCUCUGUUUUUAAGUGACAAAUAGUAUUUUAGGUGUUGAUGAUGUAUUGACAAACAAUUCUUAUUUUUUUGUUAACGUAAAAAUAUUUGUAGUAUACUUGACAAAUGAUUAUGUAAUAGAUAGUU